rnacentral:rRNA from 1 species
GUUUGAUCAUGGCUCAGAUUGAACGCUGGCGGAAUGCUUUACACAUGCAAGUCGAACGGCAGCACGGGUGCUUGCACCUGGUGGCGAGUGGCGAACGGGUGAGUAAUGCGUCGGAACGUACCGAGUAAUGGGGGAUAACGCAGCGAAAGUUGUGCUAAUACCGCAUACGCCCUGAGGGGGAAAGUGGGGGAUCGUAAGACCUCACGUUAUUCGAGCGGCCGACGUCUGAUUAGCUAGUUGGUGGGGUAAAGGCCUACCAAGGCGACGAUCAGUAGCGGGUCUGAGAGGAUGAUCCGCCACACUGGGACUGAGACACGGCCCAGACUCCUACGGGAGGCAGCAGUGGGGAAUUUUGGACAAUGGGGGCAACCCUGAUCCAGCCAUUCCGCGUGAGUGAAGAAGGCCUUCGGGUUGUAAAGCUCUUUCAGCUGGAACGAAACGGUACGCGCUAACAUCGUGUGCUAAUGACGGUACCAGCAGAAGAAGCACCGGCUAACUACGUGCCAGCAGCCGCGGUAAUACGUAGGGUGCGAGCGUUAAUCGGAAUUACUGGGCGUAAAGCGUGCGCAGGCGGAUUGUUAAGCAAGAUGUGAAAUCCCCGGGCUUAACCUGGGAAUGGCAUUUUGAACUGGCAGUCUAGAGUGCGUCAGAGGGGGGUGGAAUUCCACGUGUAGCUGUGAAAUGCGUAGAGAUGUGGAGGAACACCGAUGGCGAAGGCAGCCCCCUGGGAUGACACUGACGCUCAUGUACGAAAGCGUGGGUAGCAAACAGGAUUAGAUACCCUGGUAGUCCACGCCCUAAACGAUGUCAACUGGUUGUUGGGGGAGUGAAAUCCCUUAGUAACGAAGCUAACGCGUGAAGUUGACCGCCUGGG